rnacentral:rRNA from 1 species
CAGAGGGUGCAAACGUUGUUCGGAAUUACUGGGCGUAAAGCGCGUGCAGGCGGCCUUGCAAGUCGGACGUGAAAUCCCACGGCUCAACCGUGGAAGGGCAUUCGAAACUGCGAGGCUGGAGUCCUGGAGAGGAAAGUGGAAUACUCGGUGUAGAGGUGAAAUUCGUAGAUAUCGAGUGGAACACCGGUGGCGAAGGCGGCUUUCUGGACAGGUACUGACGCUGAGACGCGAAAGCGUGGGGAGCAAACAGGAUUAGAUACCCUGGUAGUCCACGCCGUAAACGAUGAGUGCUAGGUGUCACGGGCUUUGACCCUCGUGGUGCCGAAGCUAACGCGUUAAGCACUCCGCCUGGGGAGUACGGCCGCAAGGCUA